rnacentral:tRNA from 1 species
AGUAUUGUGCCAGAAUUGUAUGGGCUUUGUUGAUGUCGAAGAUUAUGAGGAAAUCCCUUCAAUACUU